rnacentral:rRNA from 1 species
AUUGAACGCUGGCGGCAGGCCUAACACAUGCAAGUCGAGCGAGCGGCGGACGGGUGAGUAAUGUCUGGGAAACUGCCUGUUGGAGGGGGAUAACUACUGGAAACGGUAGCUAAUACCGCAUACCAUCAGAUGUGCCCAGAUGGGAUUAGCUAGUAGGUGGGGUAACGGAUCACCUAGGCGACGAUCCCUAGCUGGUGUGAGAGGAUGACCAGCCACAAUGGAACUCAGACACGGACCAGACUCCUACGGGAGGCAGCGGUGGGGAAUAUUGCACAAUGGGCGAAAGCCGGAUGCAACCAUGCCGCGUGUGUGAAGAAGGCCUUCGGGUUGUAAAGCACUUUCAGCGGGGAGGCGUUACCCGCAGAAGAAGCACCGGCUAACUCCGUGCCAGCAGCCGCGGUAAUUC